rnacentral:rRNA from 1 species
UGGCGGCGGCUAACACAUGCAAGUCGAGCGGUAGCACAGAGAGCUUGCUCUCGGGUGACGAGCGGCGGACGGGUGAGUAAUGUCUGGGAAACUGCCUGAUGGAGGGGGAUAACUACUGGAAACGGUAGCUAAUACCGCAUAAUGUCGCAAGACCAAAGUGGGGGACCUUCGGGCCUCAUGCCAUCAGAUGUGCCCAGAUGGGAUUAGCUAGUAGGUGGGGUAACGGCUCACCUAGGCGACGAUCCCUAGCUGGUCUGAGAGGAUGACCAGCCACACUGGAACUGAGACACGGUCCAGACUCCUACGGGAGGCAGCAGUGGGGAAUAUUGCACAAUGGGCGCAAGCCUGAUGCAGCCAUGCCGCGUGUGUGAAGAAGGCCUUCGGGUUGUAAAGCACUUUCAGCGGGGAGGAAGGCGGUGAGGUUAAUAACCUUGUCGAUUGACGUUACCCGCAGAAGAAGCACCGGCUAACUCCGUGCCAGCAGCCGCGGUAAUACGGAGGGUGCAAGCGUUAAUCGGAAUUACUGGGCGUAAAGCGCACGCAGGCGGUCUGUCAAGUCGGAUGUGAAAUCCCCGGGCUCAACCUGGGAACUGCAUUCGAAACUGGCAGGCUAGAGUCUUGUAGAGGGGGGUAGAAUUCCAGGUGUAGCGGUGAAAUGCGUAGAGAUCUGGAGGAAUACCGGUGGCGAAGGCGGCCCCCUGGACAAAGACUGACGCUCAGGUGCGAAAGCGUGGGGAGCAAACAGGAUUAGAUACCCUGGUAGUCCACGCCGUAAACGAUGUCGAUUUGGAGGUUGUGCCCUUGAGGCGUGGCUUCCGGAGCUAACGCGUUAAAUCGACCGCCUGGGGAGUACGGCCGCAAGGUUAAAACUCAAAUGAAUUGACGGGGGCCCGCACAAGCGGUGGAGCAUGUGGUUUAAUUCGAUGCAACGCGAAGAACCUUACCUGGUCUUGACAUCMMCAGAACUUUCCAGAGAUGGAUUGGUGCCUUCGGGAACUGUGAGACAGGUGCUGCAUGGCUGUCGUCAGCUCGUGUUGUGAAAUGUUGGGUUAAGUCCCGCAACGAGCGCAACCCUUAUCCUUUGUUGCCAGCGGUUAGGCCGGGAACUCAAAGGAGACUGCCAGUGAUAAACUGGAGGAAGGUGGGGAUGACGUCAAGUCAUCAUGGCCCUUACGACCAGGGCUACACACGUGCUACAAUGGCAUAUACAAAGAGAAGCGACCUCGCGAGAGCAAGCGGACCUCAUAAAGUAUGUCGUAGUCCGGAUUGGAGUCUGCAACUCGACUCCAUGAAGUCGGAAUCGCUAGUAAUCGUAGAUCAGAAUGCUACGGUGAAUACGUUCCCGGGCCUUGUACACACCGCCCGUCACACCAUGGGAGUGGGUUGCAAAAGAAGUAGGUAGCUUAACCUUCGGGAGGGCGCUACC